GUACACACACACACACACACACACACACACUAUAACUGGAAUAGCACAGAGAAGAUUAACACAGCCCAUAUACAAGGAUGUUUCACACAUUUGUGAGUCAUUCUAUAUUUGU